AGAGUUUGAUCAUGGCUCAGGACGAACGCUGGCGGCGUGCUUAACACAUGCAAGUCGAGCGGUAAGGCCCCUUCGGGGGUACACGAGCGGCGAACGGGUGAGUAACACGUGAGUAACCUGCCCCUGACUCUGGGAUAAGCCCGGGAAACCGGGUCUAAUACCGGAUAUGACUUCCUGCUGCAUGGUGGGGGGUGGAAAGGUUUGUUCCGGUUGGGGAUGGGCUCGCGGCCUAUCAGCUUGUUGGUGGGGUGAUGGCCUACCAAGGCGAUGACGGGUAGCCGGCCUGAGAGGGCGACCGGCCACACUGGGACUGAGACACGGCCCAGACUCCUGCGGGAGGCAGCAGUGGGGAAUAUUGCGCAAUGGGCGGAAGCCUGACGCAGCGACGCCGCGUGGGGGAUGACGGCCUUCGGGUUGUAAACCUCUUUUACCACUCACGAAGGCUCUCGGUGUUCCGGGGGUUGACGGUAGGUGGUGAAUAAGGACCGGCUAACUACGUGCCAGCAGCCGCGGUAAUACGUAGGGUCCGAGCGUUGUCCGGAAUUAUUGGGCGUAAAGAGCUCGUAGGCGGCUUGUCGCGUCUGCUGUGAAAGUCCGGGGCUUAACUUCGGGUGUGCAGUGGAUACGGGCAGGCUUGAGGUAGGUAGGGGAGACUGGAAUUCCUGGUGUAGCGGUGAAAUGCGCAGAUAUCAGGAGGAACCACCGGUGGCGAAGGCGGGUCUCUGGGCCUUACCUGACGCUGAGGAGCGAAAGCGUGGGGAGCGAACAGGAUUAGAUACCCUGGUAGUCCACGCCGUAAACGUUGGGCGCUAGGUGUGGGGACUUUCCACGGUUUCCGUGCCGUAGCUAACGCAUUAAGCGCCCCGCCUGGGGAGUACGGCCGCAAGGCUAAAACUCAAAGGAAUCGUCGACCUGCAGGCAUGCAAG
rnacentral:rRNA from 1 species